GUAGGAUCAGAACUCAGGCCAGGCUGAACUUCCUCCAGCAGUAACUGAGGAGGGGAGAGACAGGACUUGGACACCUGGCAUCCAGCCAGAGUCAAGCCACCACAUUUUGAAAUCAGGGUUUUGGAAGCCACCCAUGCCUUUUACAUGACCACUCUGCUGCAUUCUGAGAAAAGGAGAAAUAGUUUUCUGCUGCUUUUGUGAAGGAACAGUAUCUGUAGCUGUCUUGGCAAAAGAGCUCUUGGCUUUUCUGAAGAACAACCAGACUGCAAGUUUGUACUUUCUUCAGACCAUUGUGAUAUAAAUACACUAACAUCAGAGUUGAUAUUUCAAACUGUGUAUUCAAAUGUUCUUCUUUUUUUUUUUUUUUUUUGCCUGUGUAUGCAAAUAUUCCCUUUUUAAUUUGCUUUCUUAAAAUAUUUUGCUCAUGCAACUACCGUAUAAUUCUUGAGUAAUGGUAGAAUCCCAUGUGUAUAUGUUGGGGUCAUUUUUAGGGGAGCAAUUUGAUUUUGAUUAGUUAAGAGGAGCUUAUCUUUUGUUAAAAAUGUUUAGAUAUGCAGAGAGUGGAAGGCCGGUUGCUUGCUAUUUGUUGGUAUGUUUUUGGAUUAAGGAGGUCAAAAUCACUAGUCAGAAUUUGAGGUUCACUGACAUGACUUGUUUUCAAAUCUAAUCAAAUGAAACAACAGUACAAGUAAAGAAGUUACAUUGCUGUUCUGGUGAAGUGACUGAAGAUAUUUUUCUAUGAUUCCAGAGCAGCAAUAGAAUGACACUUCUUCUAAUUACUAGUGGCAUAAAGAAAGGAAAAUACACAUCUGCAAUUUUCUUCCUUAGUUAUAUGGAUUUCCAACAUGUCACACAGAUGAUCAGUGAAAAUGCUGGUGUUCAGUAAUUGUAUUCAGCACUUCAAGGGUUUGCACAGAUAUGUUAAUAAUCCCAUUAAUCUUCUUCCUUUAUAUGGAAAUCUGUGGCCCAGAUGUUGCAUCAUUUGCAAAUCUUGCAAUUAAAACAUUUUAUAACUUGCGGUUAUGCAAAGGGGCAGUAGACUGGAAAAUGGGUAAAAUUGCUUGGCUAGGGCAUUACCAUAGCAACACACUGACCUCUGUUCAAUUAGUUACAACUGAAGAUCCAGCUAUUAAUUAUAAUGGUCAGAAAAGGAUAUAA